rnacentral:tRNA from 2 species
GGGCACGUAGUGUAGCUUGGAUAUCACCUUGGACUUCUAAUCCGAGAACACGGGUUCAAAUCCUGUCGUGCCCG